rnacentral:lncRNA from 1 species
GUGGAAGGCCGGAGUGCGGGCCGUGAGGGGUGUGCGCGCUUGAGCCGGAGCGGGGCUCGCCCCUCGUCGGCUCCCGCCGCCCAGCCGGUGAUCGCUCUCCGGCCGUCCCCGGCACCCUCGGCCCCCCACGGCGGUUGGUCCGGGCGGGGGAAGGAGAAAGUGAGACUCGGUGUCAUCACCAAUCCGUCGCCAGAAGGGGAGGAAACUGGAAUCCAGCAGCGGCGAGCAGCAGCUGGGCGGAUUUAUUUAAUGGGGAUGUGUUCAAGGCAAGACCGAAUUCAGAAGGAUAUCGACGUCGUGAUCCAGAAGUCCAGAGCUGAGGACUGCCUGUUUGCAGCCUACUUGUGAAGACAAGGAUGAAGACCUCCAUGAUGAGCCAUCUCCACUUAAUGACUGUCUCACAUUGGCCGGCAACUUGUUCCAGAUGAAAUCUUGCUCUGUCACCCAGGCUGGAGUGCAAUGGCUCGAUCUCGGCUCACUGCAACCUCCACCUUCUGGGUUCAAGCAAUUCUCCUGCCUCAGCCUCCUGAGUAGCUGGGAUUACAGAUGGAGUCUCACUGUGUCCCCAGGCUGGAGUGCAGUGGCGCGAUCUCAACUCACUGCAAGCUCUGCCUCCCGGGUUCACGCCAUUCUCCUGCCUCAGGCUCCCGAGUAGCUGGGACUACAGGCGCCCGCCACCACUCCCGGCUAAUUUUUUUUGUAUUUUCAGUAGAGACGGGAUAUCACCAUGUUAGCCAGGAUGGUCUCGAUCUCCUGACCUCGUGAUCCGCCCUCCUCAGUCUCCCAAAGUAUUAGGAUUACAGGCGUGAGCCACCGCCCCCGGCCCUCAAAGAUUGUUAUGAGUCCUCACAGAUGUCAGAGGACGAUGCUGUGACCUAUAUUUGCAAACGCCCGGAAGACUUAAAGCUAUUGUUUUGCAAAUGCACAGAUAACAAUAAUAACAUGAUGCUGUGGAUGAGCAUGAAAGUUUUUCUCUUACUCCUAAUUAUAAUGUUUUCCCUCUUACUGCUUUGCCCUGCUGAUGGAAUUCAGUAAAGGAAUCUCUACCAGCAGACACUUGGUUUUUACCCUUCCUAGGACCUUUAAUAGAUAUCUUUUUAUUACUAAUCUUUGCUCUUUGCUUGUUUAACCUCCUUGUAAAGUUUGUGUCUUCCAGAUUACAAUAAUUCCAUGUAAAGAUGAUGCUGGCACAAGGCUUUCAACCCAUCCCCUCUUCUGACCCAGAAGAUAAAGACAUCCUACCUUUGAGCCUUUUAGAACAGGUAUCCAGGGAUUUUACCUCUCCAGUGCUAGGCAGGGUCUAUGCCCAUAACAUCAGCAGGAAGCAGUUACAGAAGAUGAACCUCCGCCCUUCUGCAAGCCCCUUAAGAUUAAGGAGGAGUAUAUAAUCUCUGAUGGGGAAAUGAGGUAGGAGACCAGAAGGACUUAUUUUCCAUUCCCAACCCCAUUGAACAGAGCAGGAUCUGGUCAAAACAGGGUGCAGUGGAGAAGCCUGCUGAAACCAGCAGAUGAUGAUGAAAGUGACCUCUAGUUGCCCUCACUGCUUAUGAGCAUAAAGACACUACCACUGGGACCAUGGCCAGUUUACAAAUGUCAUGGCAACACACCUUGGCAAUGGCCUGGAAGUUACUUUAUAUGGUUCUGGAAACUCCCUGCCCCUUUCCCAGAAAGUUCUGAAUAACCUACCUCUUAAUUGGCAUGCAAUUAAAAGUGGCUCUAAAUACAACUAGCUAGUAGCCCACAGGCACAAACUCUGGGCACACUGCCUAUAGGUUAGCCCUGCUCUGCAAGAAGUAGCACCAGUUCAAUAAAAGUUGCUUUCUCUCACCAGCGGCUUAUCCUUGAAUUCUUUUCUUGGCAAAGCCAAGGAGACUACAGUCUGGGAGAAAUUUCCCACGCUACAAACCAG